rnacentral:lncRNA from 10 species
GAGAGAGCGGCUUCCCUGGUGGCCCGGGCGCGCGGUCUUGUCAUCUUGUUGCUCCUUGUGAGCGCUGGGUAGAGAAAGUGAGGGGGUAGAGGGUUUACUUGCCAGGCCUGGGUUCUCUGGGUGUCACGGGUAGGCGCUUAGAUCCAAAACGGCGGCGCCACAACAGCUGAACAGACGGAUCUCGAGCCGGGGUUUGGGCUACUUGUGUCUAGGCGCUCGCGAAGCUGCGCAGGCGCACACAGCAGCGCCGUGGUCCUGUCUUGGAUGCCCAUUACUCAUCAAAUUCGGCCACAUGCCGUGCGCUUACCUCCUACUCAGAUGCACGCGUGCCGGGGAUGGGGGCACGCGCUUACUUCUUUUGCCCCGUUUAGAAAGUAAGUUUUAUGUGGAGCAGCCAACCUGUGUUUUUGCUCAGGCAAUGGAUUAAGGAAUUUCACAUACAGACCCAGCCUUGACAUAACUUUGGUGUACUGAUGAACAUAUGCUUCAUAUUCAUAUUCAUUGGGAUCCUAGUCCUGACUUCUUUUGGAGAGUUAUCUUGGAUCUGUAAGGUCAUUUCGACUUAGCAAAAACACUGAAAAUAAUUAGGCAAACCUGGGUCUGCAAGUGGGAACCCGCCAGGGGAUUGAUAGCAAACAGGUACUCGGGAUCUUUUCGGUGGGAUGGAAAUGCCUCCAAACUGGAUUGUGGGGAUGGUUGCACUAUACAUGUACUAAAAAUCGUACACUUAAGACGGGUGAGAAUGAUACAGUAUGUAAAUAUGUCAAGCUGUUAAAACAUGCUAGACAGGCCGAGCGCGGUGGCUCACGCCUGUAAUCCCAGCACUUUGGGAGGCCGAGGCGGGCGGAUCACGAGGUCAGGAGAUCGAGACCAUCCCGGCUAAAACGGUGAAACCCCGUCUCUACUAAAAAUACAAAAAAUUAGCCGGGCGUAGUGGCGGGCGCCUGUAGUCCCAGCUACUUGGGAGGCUGAGGCAGGAGAAUGGCGUGAACCCGGGAGGCGGAGCUUGCAGUGAGCCGAGAUCCCGCCACUGCACUCCAGCCUGGGCGACAGAGCGAGACUCCGUCUCAAAAAAAAAAAACAAAAAACAUGCUAGACAAAGCUGCUGGCUCUUACUCUUUGAUGGUUUAAUGCUGCGAACGUAAUUCAAAAUCAAAGCUGUUGGAACUUUAAGUUAUUUUGCGCCUUAAAAGAAUGUUAUUAUGGAACCUGAGCUACAUAACAGGCAGCUGCGUUUGUUCCUCUGAUUAUAGAUUAGCCUUUCUUUCCUACAUCGUUUUGUGAAAACACAGGGAGAAGACAGCCAUGUACAAACCAAGGAGAGAGACCUCAAGGUAACCACACCUUGAUCAUGGAA